rnacentral:rRNA from 1 species
UACGUAGGGUGCAAGCGUUAAUCGGAAUUACUGGGCGUAAAGCGUGCGCAGGCGGUUAUAUAAGACAGUUGUGAAAUCCCCGGGCUCAACCCGGGAACUGCGUCCGAUACUGGCAGGCUUGAAUCCGGGAGAGGGAUGCGGAAUUCCAGGUGUAGCGGUGAAAUGCGUAGAUAUCUGGAGGAACACCGGUGGCGAAGGCGCAUCCUGGACCGGCAUUGACGCUGAGGCGCGAAAGCCAGGGGAGCAAAGCGGG